rnacentral:rRNA from 1 species
UACGUAGGGGGCAAGCGUUGUCCGGAUUUAUUGGGCGUAAAGCGCGCGCAGGCGGUCUAUUAAGUCUGAUGUGAAAGCCCACGGCUCAACCGUGGAGGGCCAUUGGAAACUGGUAGGCUUGAGUGCAGGAGAGGAGAGCGGAAUUCCCGGUGUAGCGGUGAAAUGCGUAGAGAUCAGGAGGAACACCCAUGGCGAAGGCAGCUCUCUGGUCGACCUCUGACGCUGAGACGCGAAAGCGUGGGGAGCGAACGGG